AUGGCAGUAAUGAAUGAUGACUACUUCGAGAGAUUGCAUUGGAUACGUGAGAGUACCAUGAUUUCUCUUCAAGAUUAUUCAGGUUUCUCUUCAAACAUCACUCUAGCAUAUGAAAGCGUAGCUUGGUUUUAUCAAUGGUUAGAUCGUCACACUGUUAAAUGUAACUAUUUGCCACUUAGUUUACAAACUAGCUAUGUUAUUCUAGUAGAUAAGUCCCUCUGUUUGAAUUAUGAGUGCCAAACAAUUACCGAAAAAAGCUUUCACCCCGCUUUAUAUAUAAAGCAACGAGUGCCAGACAAUUGCAUCACCUUGACAUGGAUUAAGCAGAUUGGCUGUAGAGUACAUGAAAACAUUCAAUGGCACUACCACAGGGUAGUUGCUUUAUAUAGAUAUGGCAUGAUAUAUGUAGAAGAUAUGCAUGUGAGGGUGAACAAUGGACCACAGUGCUACUAG
rnacentral:rRNA from 1 species